rnacentral:rRNA from 1 species
CACGGGGGGAGCAAGCGUUGUUCGGAAUCACUGGGCGUAAAGAGCGUGUAGGCGGCCAGAUAGGUCUGCUGUGAAAACUCGAGGCUCAACCUCGAGAUGUCGGCGGAAACCAUUUGGCUAGAGUCCGGAAGAGGAGAAUGGAAUUCCCGGUGUAGCGGUGAAAUGCGCAGAUAUCGGGAGGAACACCAAUGGCGAAGGCAGCUCGCUGGGACGUUACUGACGCUGAGACGCGAAAGCGUGGGGAGCAAACAGG